rnacentral:rRNA from 1 species
GACGAACGCUGGCGGCGUGCUUAACACAUGCAAGUUGAACGGAAAGGCCCUGCUUUUGUGGGGUGCUCGAGUGGCGAACGGGUGAGUAACACGUGAGUAACCUGCCCUUGACUUUGGGAUAACUUCAGGAAACUGGGGCUAAUACCGGAUAGGAGCUCCUGCUGCAUGGUGGGGGUUGGAAAGUUUCGGCGGUUGGGGAUGGACUCGCGGCUUAUCAGCUUGUUGGUGGGGUGGUGGCUUACCAAGGCUUUGACGGGUAGCCGGCCUGAGAGGGUGACCGGCCACAUUGGGACUGAGAUACGGCCCAGACUCCUACGGGAGGCAGCAGUGGGGAAUAUUGCACAAUGGGCGGAAGCCUGAUGCAGCAACGCCGCGUGCGGGAUGACGGCCUUCGGGUUGUAAACCGCUUUCGCCUGUGACGAAGCGUGAGUGACGGUAAUGGGUAAAGAAGCACCGGCUAACUACGUG